AUUGAACGCUGGCGGCAUGCCUUACACAUGCAAGUCGAACGGCAGCACGGGUGCUUGCACCUGGGUGGCGAGUGGCGAACGGGUGAGUAAUAUAUCGGAACGUACCUUAUCGUGGGGGAUAACGCAGCGAAAGCUGCGCUAAUACCGCAUACGCCCUGAGGGGAAAGCGGGGACCGUAAGGCCUCGCGCGAUUAGAGCGGCCGAUAUCUGAUUAGCUUGUUGGUGGGGUAAAAAGCCCACCAAGGCGACGAUCAGUAGCUGGUCUGAGAGGACGAUCAGCCACACUGGGACUGAGACACGGCCCAGACUCCUACGGGAGGCAGCAGUGGGAAUUUUGGACAAUGGGGGCAACCCUGAUCCAGCAAUGCCGCGUGAGUGAAGAAGGCCUUCGGGUUGUAAAGCUCUUUUGUCAGGGAAGAAACAGCAGCUCUAACACAGUCUGCGAAUGACGGUACCUGAAGAAUAAGCACCGGCUAACUACGUG
rnacentral:rRNA from 1 species